AAGACGGUGACCGCUAACCCGACAAGGGAGGCAGCCGGCCACGGUAGGGUCAGCGACUGGGGUG
rnacentral:rRNA from 1 species